UACGGGGGGGGCAAGCGUUGUUCGGAAUUACUGGGCGUAAAGGGCUCGUAGGCGGCCAACUAAGUCAGACGUGAAAUCCCUCGGCUUAACCGGGGAACUGCAUCUGAUACUGGAUGGCUUGAGUUCGGGAGAGGGAUGCGGAAUUCCAGGUGUAGCGGUGAAAUGCGUAGAUAUCUGGAGGAAUACCGGUGGCGAAGGCGGCAUCCUGGACCGACAUUGACGCUGAUGAGCGAAAGCUAGGGGAGCAAACGGG
rnacentral:rRNA from 1 species